rnacentral:rRNA from 1 species
CAAGAGCGUAUGUAAAAGUUGUUGCAGUUAAAAAGCUCGUAGUUGAACCUUGGGUUUGGUUGGCCGGUCCGCUUUUUUGCGAGUACUGGAUUCAACCGAGCCUUUCCUUCUGGCUAACCAGUCGUUUCGGCGGCUGGCGAACCAGGAUUUUUACUUUGAGAAAAUUAGAGUGUUCAAAGCAGGCAUUAGCUUGAAUAUAUUAGCAUGGAAUAAUAGAAUAGGACGUUAUGGUUCUAUUUUGUUGGUUUCUAGGACCAUCGUAAUGAUUAAUAGGGACGGUCGGGGGCAUCAGUAUUCAGUUGUCAGAGGUGAAAUUCUUGGAUUUACUGAAGACUAACUACUGCGAAAGCAUUUGCCAAGGACGGUUUCAUUAA